rnacentral:rRNA from 1 species
GAGAGGUGCUGCAUGGCUGUCGUCAGCUCGUGUUGUGAAAUGUUUGGUUAAGUCUCGCAACGGGCGCAACCCCUAUCGUCUGUUGCCAGCAUUAAGUUGGGCACUCUGACGAGACUGCCUGGGUUAACCAGGAGGAAGGUGGGGAUGACGUCAAGUCCUCAUGGCCCUUAUGUCUAGGGCUACACACGUAAUACAAUGGCGCGUACAGAGGGAAGCGAACCCGCGAGGGGGAGCAAAUCUCAAAAAGCGCGCCUCAGUUCGGAUUGGAGUCUGCAACUCGACUCCAUGAAGUUGGAAUCGCUAGUA